CUGACUUCAGCGGCAGGUAUACUAAAAUUAGAAUGACACAGAGGAGAUUAGCAUGGCCCCCUGUGCAAGGAAGAUCCAGAUUCAUGCCGCAUUCCAUAUUUUU
ensembl:snRNA RNU6-322P RNA, U6 small nuclear 322, pseudogene